AUCAUAAUCGUCACCGUAAAGCAAGCUGCAAAGGAGCGUCUGAAAAUGGGCUCAAAAGUCGAUAAUUCGACAGAUCGCCAAAGGGCGGAAACGCAACAUCUCACGCGAAUGCUCAUUUGUGUUUGCAUCGGUUACAUCGUCACGUCACUUCCGUUUCGUUUUCAUUAUUUGAUAAUUGGUAUCCCAGAGGUCAGUGCACUGUAUGACUUAUCGAAGCCAUAUUGGAAUCUACGCUACAUGUUGGAGAAUGCGGUAAUCUUUUUUGUGUGGAUCAGCAAUUAUGCUUGUAAUUUUUACAUCUACUGUUUAGGUGGCGGGAGGCGGUAUAGAAAUGACACCAAAGCUGUGCUCAAGCAGAUAGUUUCAGUAUUUUACCGUGCUUGAGAAAAUAUCCAGCUCAUCAUCAGUCGGGAGAGGGAAUGUCUAAUAAACGGGUGCGAGGACUACGUUCUUGGCCCUACGUGUUGCAUUAUAGGUUCGAAAUACUAUUGCCAAGAGUUGAAGUCCCGGGCUCUUUUACUCAAUAGGCGUCAGAGACAAACAUCUGUGUUUACGUUAGCUGAACUAUGAGUCGUCUUCUUUGGUAAAUGUAUUCAGACAAGCUACUGCUGAUGCUGAUUGAGCGUGUUCGCCAAGAUUCUACACUCGGACCAACCUUGUUCCUUGUCUACAGCAAUAUGUUCCGCCAUUAAUUAGUUCAGCCAAAACAUAAGUUGGCCAAUUUGAACAACUUGGCUUGGUCCAGGACCUAUGACUGGGAAAUUGGUCAGCUGACCAAUUCAGUUGUCGAAGUUCAAAAUUUGACCAAGCCAGCAGAAACGAUCAGUCUAUAUUUGGACGGCAGUUUUUCUCUCUCAGUGAAAUGCUUGAUAACCGUACCGUUAUAUCUACCACAAUUUGUGCAUUUUUAGAUCAUCUAUCUUUAUACAUUUUUAUUCGCUUUUGACAGAUGAUAUGAUAUGGUAUUUUAUAAAAACACUUGUCAUGCCUAAAACAGUAUGAUGUUAAAAUAGGUUCUAGAUGUUACGACUGCAAUGAUUUCGUACGGCUUCCCUAUAUGGUGUUCAGGCUAGUCAGUGCAAGGAUCACAUACUGAACUUCCAGCGGUACUCCGUAGCCUCCGCCCAUACAUGGAAGGUGAGCAAAAUCAAUACGUUGAGGGUCAAGAUGCGUCUUACUCGGAACGCGGUUUCACUAAUCCUGGUAGUAGUUCCUACCGCUAGCGGGUAUCGUAUCACGCACUCAUGGUCCCGAUGGUCGGAUACGAGAUACUCACCACGAAGCGCUAAAAUGAAUGUCUAGAAGUUACAAUUUUCUGUGUUUGACUACUUCUGUGGAAUGACGACCUCUGACUUUACGGGAUUGUCAUCUGUGGACGAAUACCCAGGGCUACGGCUCGCCAUCGACGUGAUCUUAAAGUACCUAUGGAUCGUCGUCGCCGUUUUCGGAGUCACAGGAAACGUGUUGGCGGGAAUGGUCGCUUUCCAGAAACACAACAGAAACGUUUCAACUUGUAUCUACAUGUUAGGUUUGUCAGUGGCGGACACGCUGUUUCUACUGCAACUCGUUUGGCAGUUUCCCCUCAGUUACUAUUACGUUCCCAGAGGAUACUUUAUCGAACAACAUGACAUGAUAUUGAAGUGAGUGGUCUUUAUCUACCUGAUAUCGUAGAUACUGUUACAAAUGCGUUAAAAAUGUGAGUUUCUUUCUUGGAAUUUCAACAAAGCUUUUUCCUUUCCUAAAGUGAAGACGAUGAAGCCUGCGAGUAGGUCCGUAUACCUUCACAAUAAAAGCAUAGAAUCCUAACGGCUGAUGGUUGGUCAUUAUGACUGUUUUGUUUGUUGUACGGCAUAUCUAUAUUGGUGCCGCCAGCAUAUGCCUUCAUCAAUAUGACCAAGAUCUAUACUUGGUAUGAUUAAUUUCCUUUUUGCAGGAUCUCAUGGUACUUCCAAUUCACUUUCGCAAUGAUAUCGGGCUAUGUUCUUGCCGUGAUGUCCAUUGAUCGGCUAAUAGCUGUUCGCUUCCCAAUGGCCGCACGUCGCCUCUGCACCAUUACCAGGGCUAAGAAAGUCGUCAUUGGGGGCUUUGUGGUGAUCGCUAUUCUGAACCUAAACACAUUCUUUACUUUUAAAUAUGUUGAUUUGAGUGGUGUGAAAACGUUGAUUUUAUCCGUUCCUGAAAAUGAGGCAAUUGAGAUCUUAACAUCAACCUUCCAUUUAGUUCUCGGGACCAUUUUUCCCUUCACAACUAUAUGUAUCAGCAACAUCAUUAUCAUCAUAACAGUGAGGCAAGCCUCGAGGGAUCGCCUCAAAAUGGGUACGAAUGCCAAAAUCGACAACUCGAAAGAUCCCCGAAAGGCGGAAACUCAACAUCUCACACGCAUGCUCAUUUGCGUCUGCAUCGGUUACAUCGCCACGUCACUUCCGUUUCGUUUUCAUUAUUUGAUAAUUGGUAUCCCAGAAGUCAGUGUGAUGUAUGAUAUGUCAAAGCCAUAUUGGAAUUUGCGCUACAUGUUGGAGAAUGCAUUGAUAUUUUUUGUGUGGGUCAUUAACUAUGCUUGUAAUUUCUACAUCUACUGCCUCGGCGGAGGAAGGCGGUAUAGAAAAGACACAAAAGCUGUCCUAAGGCAGAUAGUUUCAGUAUUUUGCCGAAAAGAAGUAUCAAGAUAUGGCAUGAAUCUUUAAUUGUGCUAAUUUUUCGUUAGGCACACUUUCGACAAAAGUGCCUCCAAAGAAACGGGACGCCGGGAUAUCUUCAUGUAUGAUUACGCUGCUUCCGUUGGGUUGAGUUCCGGUCAAAAUUUCUUUUGGACGUGAAUCAGUGUACGCAUGAGAUUCCUGCAAGACAUUUAGCAUAUUUGCUUGGUACAUGGUGUGUUGUUAUUGUCGGUAAAAUGCUUGCUUCUGACCAACAGGGUUUAUGCAACGCAGAUUCACUACGGUUGCUUGAAGGUUUUGUAACGGGACCAUGUCUGAACAAGCCAGCUUACUGAAUCUCAUCAUACACCCAAAUGAACAGGGGAAGGUCUUGCCUAAACAUCAAGUAUACACUUAUACGGUGAAAUGCUUUAGGGUAAAUCUACUUACUUAGCUUGGCUCUCAAACAGUUUCAAAAGCAGCAGAUACAACAAUGGUGAUACACGAAAAUAGUGUCAACACUUUUUUGCUCGCGACCUGUUCAAAAUCGAUAACUCUUCUAUGAAUAACAACUCUUAAAAAACCAACUCUUCUAUCUUUGGUCUAUUCUGUGAACCGCAGAAAAAGGUUUCAUCAAGUUACAACUGCAUUGUUCGGUUGUAUAAAUAGAUAAAACGAGUUAUUUUUCUUCCAGUAGUUACUUGCUGGUUAAAAUGAUUCGUUCACAUUUGCCAUCUCAUAGACAUUUUCCUAUUUUGUAUCAGAAGCAAUGUUGUGGCUGUCAUGGUACUUCCAAUUCACCUUCGCCAUGAUAUCAGGUUACGUCCUCGCCGUGAUGUCCAUUGACCGCCUGAUAGCUGUCCGCUUCCCGAUGGCCGCACGACGAAUCUGUACCAUCAGCAGGGCCAAGAAAGUCACCAUUGGCGGAUUUGUGGUGAUCGCCAUUCUAAAUCUAAAUACAUUUUAUACCUUCAAAUUCGUAGAUAACGAAGUGACUGGUGUGAAAACGUUGAUUCUUUCUGUUCCCGAAAACGAAGUCGUUGAGAUAAUGACGUCCUCCUUUCAACUUGUGUGUGGUACAAUCCUCCCUUUUACCACGAUCACUUUAAGCAAUUUCAUUAUAAUCGUGACAGUAAAGCAAGCGUCAAAGAAUCGCCUCAAAAUGGGUACAAAUGCAGAAAUUGACAACCAACAGAAGGCGGAAACACAACAUCUCACGCGCAUGCUAGUUUGCGUCUGUAUCGGCUAUAUCGUGACGUCACUUCCGCUUC